rnacentral:lncRNA from 1 species
UAUCUUCGGAAUCAAAAACACGACGAGUGUUAUUUGAGUUUAAUUGUGUAAAACCAAGACUAAAAGAUGGUGCAUCAUCCAUAUGAUUCAACGUUUUGAAGAAGAAAAAAAAUGAAAAAUAAAGGAUGAACAGAUAGUUUGAAGAGAUGAACAGAUUACCCUAUUUCACGUUGGAUUAGUUUUGACAGGAUAGAGACUUGAUUUUGAAUUUCAAAAGUAAUGAAAAAAUUAACUGAAAAGAAAAUGGGGAGAGAUUUGUGGAGUGAAAUCAGGAAGUGAUAAACUUUGAUUUUUGGAAUUGUGAGUUAUGUAUCCGGCAGAUUAGUUUUAGGAGGAAAAUAAGGGAUUUUGGAAAAUUUUAGAAAUGGUAGGGAAUAAUGAGAAUUAUGGAAAAACAAGGUGUGUAUAUAGG